rnacentral:rRNA from 1 species
GGAAAGUCGCACGGUACAGGGUGAUAGUCCCGUACACAAAAAUGCAUAUGUUGUGAGUUCGAUGAGUAGGGCGGGACACGUGACAUCCUGUCUGAAUAUGGGGGGACCAUCCUCCAAGGCUAAAUACUCCUGACUGACCGAUAGUGAACCAGUACCGUGAGGGAAAGGCGAAAAGAACCCCGGCGAGGGGAGUGAAAUAGAACCUGAAACCGUGUACGUACAAGCAGUGGGAGCACCUUCGUGGUGUGACUGCGUACCUUUUGUAUAAUGGGUCAGCGACUUAUAUUUUGUAGCAAGGUUAACCGAAUAGGGGAGCCGUAGGGAAACCGAGUCUUAACUGGGCGAAUAGUUGCAAGGUAUAGACCCGAAACCCGGUGAUCUAGCCAUGGGCAGGUUGAAGGUUGGGUAACACUAACUGGAGGACCGAACCGACUAAUGUUGAAAAAUUAGCGGAUGACUUGUGGCUGGGGGUGAAAGGCCAAUCAAACCGGGAGAUAGCUGGUUCUCCCCGAAAGCUAUUUAGGUAGCGCCUCGUGAACUCAUCUUCGGGGGUAGAGCACUGUUUCGGCUAGGGGGUCAUCCCGACUUACCAAACCGAUGCAAACUCCGAAUACCGAAGAAUGUUAUCACGGGAGACACACGGCGGGUGCUAACGUCCGUCGUGAAGAGGGAAACAACCCAGACCGCCAGCUAAGGUCCCAAAGUCAUGGUUAAGUGGGAAACGAUGUGGGAAGGCAUAGACAGCCAGGAUGUUGGCUUAGAAGCAGCCAUCAUUUAAAGAAAGCGUAAUAGCUCACUGGUCGAGUCGGCCUGCGCGGAAGAUGUAACGGGGCUAAACCAUGCACCGAAGCUGCGGCAGCGACGCUUAGGCGUUGUUGGGUAGGGGAGCGUUCUGUAAGCCGUUGAAGGUGACCUGUGAGGGUUGCUGGAGGUAUCAGAAGUGCGAAUGCUGACAUAAGUAACGAUAAUGCGGGUGAAAAACCCGCACGCCGGAAGACCAAGGGUUCCUGUCCAACGUUAAUCGGGGCAGGGUGAGUCGACCCCUAAGGCGAGGCUGAAAAGCGUAGUCGAUGGGAAACAGGUUAAUAUUCCUGUACUUGGUGUUACUGCGAAGGGGGGACGGAGAAGGCUAGGCUAGCCGGGCGACGGUUGUCCCGGUUUAAGCAUGUAGGCGGAGUGACUUGGUAAAUCCGGUUGCUUAUCAACGCUGAGGUGUGAUGACGAGCCACUACGGUGGUGAAGUAGUUGAUGCCAAGCUUCCAGGAAAAGCCUCUAAGCAUCAGGUAACAUUAAAUCGUACCCCAAACCGACACAGGUGGUCAGGUAGAGAAUACUCAGGCGCUUGAGAGAACUCGGGUGAAGGAACUAGGCAAAAUGGUGCCGUAACUUCGGGAGAAGGCACGCUGGCAUUAGGUAAAGGGACUUGCUCCCGGCGCCGAAGCCAGUCGCAGAUACCAGCUGGCUGCAACUGUUUAAUAAAAACACAGCACUGUGCAAACACGAAAGUGGACGUAUACGGUGUGACGCCUGCCCGGUGCUGGAAGGUUAAUUGAUGGGGUCAGCCGCAAGGCGAAGCUCUUGAUCGAAGCCCCAGUAAACGGCGGCCGUAACUAUAACGGUCCUAAGGUAGCGAAAUUCCUUGUCGGGUAAGUUCCGACCUGCACGAAUGGCGUAAUGAUGGCCAGGCUGUCUCCACCCGAGACUCAGUGAAAUUGAACUCGCUGUGAAGAUGCAGUGUACCCGCGGCAAGACGGAAAGACCCCGUGAACCUUUACUAUAGCUUGACACUGAACAUUGAGCCUUGAUGUGUAGGAUAGGUGGGAGGCAUUGAAGUGUGGACGCCAGUCUGCAUGGAGCCAACCUUGAAAUACCACCCUUUAAUGUUUGAUGUUCUAACUCGGCCCCGUGAUCCGGGGUGAGGACAGUGUCUGGUGGGUAGUUUGACUGGGGCGGUCUCCUCCCAAAGAGUAACGGAGGAGCACGAAGGUUAGCUAAUCACGGUCGGACAUCGUGAGGUUAGUGCAAAGGCAUAAGCUAGCUUGACUGCGAGAGUGACGGCUCGAGCAGGUACGAAAGUAGGUCUUAGUGAUCCGGUGGUUCUGAAUGGAAGGGCCAUCGCUCAACGGAUAAAAGGUACUCCGGGGAUAACAGGCUGAUACCGCCCAAGAGUUCAUAUCGACGGCGGUGUUUGGCACCUCGAUGUCGGCUCAUCACAUCCUGGGGCUGAAGUAGGUCCCAAGGGUAUGGCUGUUCGCCAUUUAAAGUGGUACGCGAGCUGGGUUUAGAACGUCGUGAGACAGUUCGGUCCCUAUCUGCCGUGGGCGUUGGAAGAUUGAGAGGGGCUGCUCCUAGUACGAGAGGACCGGAGUGGACGAAUCACUGGUGUUCGGGUUGUCAUGCCAAUGGCAUUGCCCGGUAGCUAAAUUCGGAAGAGAUAACCGCUGAAAGCAUCUAAGCGGGAAACUUGCCUCGAGAUGAGUCUUCCCUGGGGCUUUAAGCCCCCUGAAGGAACGUUAAAGACUAUGACGUUGAUAGGCUGGGUGUGUAAGUGCAGCGAUGCAUUGAGCUAACCAGUACUAAUGAUCCGUGAGGCUUAACCU